rnacentral:lncRNA from 1 species
ACAAAAAUUAUUAAUGAAUUCUAUCCUCAUCUACAAUGCUGGUAAGUUUCAUUUGUUAUACCUUUACCGAAGUCUAUAUAAACUUUUUAGUUAAACAUUUGAAUUACAUCCACAUCAAUAAUACGUACAAUACAUACAUAUACACAAACUAUGUGACAGAAUAGCAGACGGUGUUGUAGUUAAACAUAAAUAUUAUUUUAAUAUUUCGGUUCUAAGCUUAAAAGAUCUAAAUAUGAACUUACCUAAAUUACAUAGCCCUUUAUAUUGUUUGUACACAUUAGUUUAAUAAAUUUUUACAUCGAUGUUUAUUUCCAGUAAUGUGGAUUAAUCUAAAAUGUUCAAAAACCUUUUAAUAUUCUAAUUAUAUGUCACAUAGUUGUGUUAAAUACAGCAGUGGAGUUGCUAACUUCGAUGUCUAUUUUUCUUUUACGUUUGUUAUGUCGAAUGUAAGAUAUGUUGUUAUCAUGAGAAACACGACAGGGGACACACGUAGGGCAUACUCAGAUUAAACCUCCCGGGGGCUGAUCACUCCAAGUUUUCUUUCGGGUUUCUGUUGCUCAGUCUUUAGUUUCUUAUGUUUUGUAGAAUGUUGUUAGUUUUUGUCGCAUUUUAAGUUAUUUCAUCAGUUUUUCAUUGACUUGACAGUUUUUAUUUACCCUUUCGUAUCUUGUUUAGGUGUCUGAAUAUUAUUUUAUGUGGAAUUGGUAAAUUGAAUAAGGUAGAUUGAAAGUCUUUGUGAUCAUAAAAACGAUUUGUCAGAAAAAUAAAUACUAGUAUACUGGAAACGAUUUACAUGAAGUGGGAUACUUUAUGCUUUUAAAAGACUUCUUAUUAUUACUGCUAAAUGGUGGCCCUUGUGAAAUUAGACCCAUUUGCUCCGCUACGCCGUUAAAUUCACUCUGCUGCCUAAGUUAUUACAUCCUUAAUGACUAGCAUAUAUCACGUAGAAGAUACCAGUUCUUUUUCAGAUAUAAAAAAGGAACUAUGCAAUUCUAUGUGUUGUAAUUAUAUAGUGUAACAAAAAUGAAAAACAAAUGAAAAUAAAUUGAGGCGUCCGUAUCACAUGUUUAUGGUCAUAUUUAUAAAUUAACUGUUUACUAAACUUUAAAAAUUUUGAAAUAAUAAGACUUUUAGAUAACCUUAGCUGUAUUUGGCAAAACUUUAAGGAAUUUUGGUCCUCUAUGCACUUCAACUUCGUACUUUAUUUGGCCUUUUUUUACAAUUUAUGGAUUCGAGCGUUACUGAUGAGUCUUUUGUACAUGAAACGCGCGUCUGGCGUAAAGACAAAAUUUAAUCCUGGUAUCUAUGAUGAGUUUAUUUACCCGUUUAGGAACGCUCCAAUUAAACAGUUUAUGCCGAAGGAAUCAUAAACACUAGCCUGUAAUUCAGUGGUUGUCAUGGUUAUCGUUGAUUACUGUUUGCAUUUUGAAUGUUCGUUUAUGGUUUUAAUCACAAGUCAGGACGGAUUGUUUAAUGAAUCGUUUCACUUAUUUUUCACGUUGGGGUCAUUAUAGUCUUGUACUAUACAGUAAUGGUUUUGUUUAUCGUUAAAACAGUGAUAAUUUAUAGUUGUUUACAUCUUCGUCCUUCGUUCUCUGAUGAAAAUUUGUCUAAUUAUGAUAUUUCCUUAUUUUUAUAUUGGAAACGUGAUAAGCUAUGUGAUUUGUAUCUUCUAUGAUUGUUGGUGUGAUAGUUCACUGUUUCAGAGAAUAGAAGUUGAUAUAUCCCUGUGAAAUUAUCGUACACUGAAUAUAAACAAAAUUUAUAUAUCAAAAUAAAUAAAAUUAA